GGCUGGAUGGCAGAGUGGUUAUGCAGCGGAUUGCAAAUCCGUGUACGCCGGUUCGAUUCCGACUCCGGCCUCCA
rnacentral:tRNA from 7 species